rnacentral:rRNA from 1 species
AUGGAUCUCCUGAGGAAGGAGCUGGAGAAGAAGCGGAAGGCGGCGACGGCCGACUUCGGCGGUAAGAACUUUGUCCGGCGGUCGGAGCUGGAGGACAAGCAGCUCCAGAAGCGCCGCCAGAUCCCCGCCAAGGCUCCUUCUGUGCCCACCCCCAACUCCUCCUCCGCCUCCGACCCUACCAACUCCAACGCCGACCCCGCCCAGGCCGGGGGCGGGAACCCUAACCCUAGCUCCUCCGCCGCCGCGGCCUCUGUUCCUCCCGCCCUCGCGGGGAAGAAGGCCACGCCGGACGAUACGCUCCACUCCGAGGAGCGCCGCAUUGAUGAGCUCGUCCUCCCGCGGAACGAGGUCAUGCGGCGACUCCGGGUGCUCCGCGAGCCGGUCACGUUAUUUGGGGAGGACGACGCCGACCGCCUUGAUCGCCUCAAGCUCGUGCUCAAGUCCGGGGCGAUCGACGACAUUGACGACCUUGAGAUGACAGAGGGGCAGACCAACGAUUUCCUCCGUGACAUGAUUGAGCUCCGCAUGCGGCAGAAGGCUGGUCGAGACGCCUACGGCAAGGGUAAAGGCAAGCGUGUAGGUGCUGGUGAUGGUGGCGAGGGCGGCGCCCUGGGAGAUGAUGUGGAUGAAGGGGAUGGGGAUGCCCGGAGGAGUGGGGAUGAUGCUGACGCAGACAAGGACUCAAAGCGAAUGAAGACCAAGUUUGAGGAGCUUUGUGAUGAAGACAAGAUCUUAGUCUUCUUCAAGAGGUUGCUCAAUGAGUGGAACCAGGAGCUGGAUGAUAUGACAGAGCUGGAGAAGCGUUCGGCAAAGGGAAAGUCAAUGUUUGCAACGUUCAAGCAGUGUGCGCGGUAUCUCAGUCCCCUGUUUGAGUUCUGCAGGAAGAAGGUUCUUCCUGAUGACAUCCGCAAAGCAUUGCUCUUUAUUGUGGACUGCUGCAUGAAGCGUGAUUAUUUGCAAGCAAUGGACCAAUACAUCAAGCUGGCCAUUGGCAACGCGCCAUGGCCUAUUGGAGUCACUAUGGUUGGUAUCCACGAGCGUUCUGCACGAGAGAAGAUUUACACGAAUAGUGUGGCUCAUAUCAUGAACGACGAGACCACUCGCAAGUACCUUCAGUCGAUCAAGAGGCUUAUGACCCUUUGCCAGCGGCGUUAUCCUGCCCUGCCCUCCAAAUCAGUGGAGUUCAACAGCCUGGCAAAUGGGAGUGACUUGCAGGCCCUUCUGUCGGAGGAGAAGGAUCCGACGAAAGGUCCUUCUGAGGACAGGCUCCGGCUGAUGCCAGCAGCAAAAGAGUGA